rnacentral:rRNA from 1 species
UACGUAGGGUGCAAGCGUUAAUCGGAAUUACUGGGCGUAAAGCGUGCGCAGGCGGCUUCGCAAGUCAGGCGUGAAAUCCCCGGGCUUAACCUGGGAAUGGCGUCUGAAACUACGGAGCUGGAGUGUGGCAGAGGGAGGUAGAAUUCCACGUGUAGCGGUGAAAUGCGUAGAUAUGUGGAGGAAUACCGAUGGCGAAGGCAGCCUCCUGGGCCAACACUGACGCUCAUGCACGAAAGCGUGGGGAGCAAACAGG